rnacentral:rRNA from 1 species
UACGGAGGGUGCAAGCGUUGCUCGGAAUUAUUGGGCGUAAAGGGUAGGUAGGUGGUCUCAUUUGUCUGGGGUGAAAGCCUUGAGCUUAACUCAGGAAGUGCAUUCGAAACUGGCAGGCUUGAAUAUGGAAGAGGGUCGCGGAAUUCCCGGUGUAGAGGUGAAAUUCGUAGAUAUCGGGAGGAACACCAGUGGCGAAGGCGGCGACCUGGGCCAAUAUUGACGCUGAGGUGCGAAAGCGUGGGGAGCAAACAGG